rnacentral:rRNA from 1 species
UCCUACGGGAGGCAGCAGUGAGGAAUAUUGGGCAAUGGGCGCAAGCCUGACCCAGCCAUGCCGCGUGCAGGAUGACGGCGCUAUGCGUUGUAAACUGCUUUUGUUUAGGAAGAAACCCAUCUACGUGUAGGUGGUUGACGGUACUGAAUGAAUAAGCAUCGGCUAACUCCGUGCCAGCAGCCGCGGUAAUACGGAGGAUGCAAGCGUUAUCCGGAUUCAUUGGGUUUAAAGGGUGCGUAGGCGGAGUACUAAGUCAGCGAUGAAAUCCUGCAGCUUAACUGUAGAACUGUCAUUGAUACUGGUAUUCUUGAAUGCAGUUGAGGUAGGCGGAAUGUGUAAUGUAGCGGUGAAAUGCUUAGAUAUUACACAGAACACCGAUUGCGAAGGCAGCUUACUAAACUGUGAUUGACGCUGAGGCACGAAAGCGUGGGGAGCAAACAGGAUUAGAUACCCUGGUAGUCCACGCCGUAAACUAUGAUUACUCGCUGUUGGCGAUACAUUGUCAGCGGCUGAGCGAAAGCAUUAAGUAAUCCACCUGGGGAGUACGAUCGCAAGGUUGAAACUCAAAGGAAUUGACGGGGGCCCGCACAAGCGGAGGAACAUGUGGUUUAAUUCGAUGAUACGCGAGGAACCUUACCUGGGCUUAAAUGUAGAGCGACAGACUGGGAAACUGGUCCUUCUUCGGACGAUCUACAAGGUGCUGCAUGGUUGUCGUCAGCUCGUGCCGUGAGGUGUCGGGUUAAGUCCCAUAACGAGCGCAACCCUUAUCGUUAGUUGCCAGCGGGUAAUGCCGGGGACUCUAGCGAAACUGCCGGUGUAAACCGUGAGGAAGGUGGGGAUGACGUCAAAUCAGCACGGCCCUUAUGUCCAGGGCUUCACACGUCAUACAAUGGUCGGUCCAGAGGGUUGCCAACCCGCGAGGGGGAGCUAAUCUCAGAAAGCCGAUCGUAGUCCGGAUUGCAGUCUGCAACUCGACUGCAUGAAGUCGGAAUCGCUAGUAAUCGCGGAUCAGCAUGUCGCGGUGAAUACGUUCCCGGGCCUUGUACACACCGCCAU